AGUCCUGCCAGUUCCCUGGCCCUCAGCAGGGCUGCCUGACUCCACUGCAAAGCUGGAGACUCCAGGUUUCUAGUGCUUGAUGAGCUGUCCCUAAGACCAAUUGCAAGUGGGUACUUUUUUGAACAAGGCUUCGGAUCAUUAAUCACCGUGCAGCAGAAUCAAACAACAGAGGCAACAUCAGUGUGUGAACCACAGAUAUCUCUUUUGUCUGAGUACUUGAAGAACUGGAGAAGAUAAUGUCUCAGAUGUACAUGACUCCUGUUAUUUUGAGCUGAUCAGUGCCAUGGUCUAGAUUCAAUAUGAUGUUCAGGACCACUGGAAGCUGGCUCAGAGACAUCAGAUAAGGGAUGCAUCAGGAGAGAAGACUGGAGGAAAUACAGUAGUGGAAAUACAGCUGUGUUACUUGUGCAAGUAAUCAGGUAC
rnacentral:lncRNA from 1 species